CAACACACUGUCCCUCCACUCCUCUACGUCUGGCCCAACACACUGUCCCUCCGCUCUAGGUCUGGCCCAACACAUCCCUCCGCUCUAGGUCUGACCCAACACGCUGUCUCUCCCUCCGCUCUAGGUCUGGCCCAACACGCUGUCUCUCCCCUCUAGGUCUGGCCCAACACACUCUCCCUCCGCUCUAGGUCUGGCCCAACAUGUCCCUCUGCUCUAGGUCUGGCCCAGCACGCUGUCCCUCCGCUCUAGGACUGGCCCAACACGCUGUCCCUCCGCUCUAGGUCUGGCCCAACACGCUGUCCCUCCGCUCUAGGUCUGUACCAAAACGCUGUCCCUCCGCUCUAGGUCUGGCCCAACACGUUGUCCCUCUGCUCUAGGUCUGGCCCAACACACUGUCCCUCCACUCUAGGUCUGGCCCAACACACUGUCCCUCCGCUCUAGGUCUGGCCCAACACGUCCCUCCGCUCUAGGUCUGGCCCAACACACUCUCCCUCCGCUCUAGGUCUGGCCCAACAUGUCCCUCUGCUCUAGGUCUGGCCCAGCACGCUGUCCCUCCGCUCUAGGUCUGGCCCAACACACUGUCCCUCCACUCUAGGUCUGGCCCAACACGCUGUCCCUCCGCUCUAGGUCUGGCCCAACACACUGUCCCUCCGCUCUAGGUCUGGCCCAACACGUCCCUCCGCUCUAGGUCUGACCCAACACGCUGUCUC